rnacentral:rRNA from 1 species
CCUACGGGGGGCUGCAGUGGGGAAUAUUGGACAAUGGGGGGAACCCUGAUCCAGCCAUGCCGCGUGUGUGAAGAAGGCCCUCGGGUUGUAAAGCACUUUCAGUGAGGAAGAACGCCUGGUGGUUAAUACCCAUCAGGAAAGACAUCACUCACAGAAGAAGCACCGGCUAACUCCGUGCCAGCAGCCGCGGUAAUACGGAGGGUGCGAGCGUUAAUCGGAAUUACUGGGCGUAAAGCGCGCGUAGGUGGCUUGAUAAGCCGGUUGUGAAAGCCCCGGGCUCAACCUGGGAACGGCAUCCGGAACUGUCGAGCUAGAGUGCAGGAGAGGAAGGUAGAAUUGCCGGUGUAGCGGUGAAAUGCGUAGAGAUCGGGAGGAAUACCAGUGGCGAAGGCGGCCUUCUGGACUGACACUGACACUGAGGUGCGAAAGCGUGGGUAGCAAACAGGAUUAGAUACCCGUGUAGUC